AUUGGGACUGAGAUACGGCCCAGACUCCUACGGGAGGCAGCAGUGGGGAAUAUUGCACAAUGGGCGCAAGCCUGAUGCAGCGACGCCGCGUGCGGGAUGACGGCCUUCGGGUUGUAAACCGCUUUUGACUGGGAGCAAGCCCUUCGGGGUGAGUGUACCUUUCGAAUAAGCACCGGCUAACUACGUGCCAGCAGCCGCGGUAAUACGUAGGGUGCAAGCGUUAUCCGGAAUUAUUGGGCGUAAAGGGCUCGUAGGCGGUUCGUCGCGUCCGGUGUGAAAGUCCAUCGCUUAACGGUGGAUCCGCGCCGGGUACGGGCGGGCUUGAGUGCGGUAGGGGAGACUGGAAUUCCCGGUGUAACGGUGGAAUGUGUAGAUAUCGGGAAGAACACCAAUGGCGAAGGCAGGUCUCUGGGCCGUCACUGACGCUGAGGAGCGAAAGCGUGGGGAGCGAACAGGAUUAGAUACCCUGGUAGUCCACGCCGUAAACGAUGAGUGCUAGGUGUUGGGGGGCAAAGCCCUUCGGUGCCGUCGCAAACGCAAUAAGCACUCCACCUGGGGAGUACGUUCGCAAGAAUGAAACUCAAAGGAAUUGACGGGGACCCGCACAAGCGGUGGAGCAUGUGGUUUAAUUCGAAGCAACGCGAAGAACCUUACCAAGUCUUGACAUCCCUCUGACUGGUGAGUAACGUCACCUUUCCUUCGGGACAGAGGAGACAGGUGGUGCAUGGUUGUCGUCAGCUCGUGUCGUGAGAUGUUGGGUUAAGUCCCGCAACGAGCGCAACCCUCGCCCUGUGUUGCCAGCACGUCAUGGUGGGAACUCACGGGGGACCGCCGGGGUCAACUCGGAGGAAGGUGGGGAUGACGUCAGAUCAUCAUGCCCCUUACGUCCAGGGCUUCACGCAUGCUACAAUGGCCGGUACAACGGGAUGCGACCUCGUGAGGGGGAGCGGAUCCCUUAAAACCGGUCUCAGUUCGGAUUGGAGUCUGCAACCCGACUCCAUGAAGGCGGAGUCGCUAGUAAUCGCGGAUCAGCAACGCCGCGGUGAAUGCGUUCCCGGGCCUUGUACACACCGCCCGUCAAGUCAUGAAAGUGGGUAGCACCCGAAGCCGGUGGCCCAACCUUUUGGGGGGAGCCGUCUAAGGUGAGACUCGUGAUUGGGACUAAGUCGUAACAAGGUAGCCGUACCGGAAGGUGCGGCUG
rnacentral:rRNA from 1 species